rnacentral:rRNA from 1 species
UACAGAGGUGGCAAGCGUUGUUCGGAAUUACUGGGCGUAAAGGGCGCGUAGGCGGCGCAACAAGUCACUUGUGAAAUCUCCGGGCUUAACCCGGAGCGGCCAAGUGAUACUGUCGUGCUAGAGUGCGGAAGGGGCUACUGGAAUUCUCGGUGUAGCGGUGAAAUGCGUAGAUAUCGGGAGGAACACCGGUGGCGAAGGCGGCCGUCUGGACGAAGAUUGACGCUGAGGCGCGAAAGCGUGGGGAGCAAACAGG